rnacentral:rRNA from 1 species
AAUCAACGCUGGCGGCGUGCCUAACACAUGCAAGUCGAACGCGGUUACCCCGCAAGGGGUAACUGAGUGGCGAACGGGUGAGUAACGCGUGGGUGACCUACCUUCGAGUGGGGGAUAACGUCCCGAAAGGGACGCUAAUACCGCAUAACAUCCUGCCUUUGAACAGGCGGUGAUCAAAGCCGGGGAUCGCGAGACCUGGCGCUUGAUGAGGGGCCCGCGUCUGAUUAGCUAGUUGGUGAGGAAUGGCCCACCAAGGCAACGAUCAGUAUCCGGCCUGAGAGGGCGGACGGACACACUGGGACUGAGACACGGCCCAGACUCCUACGGGAGGCAGCAGUGGGGAAUUGUUCGCAAUGGGCGCAAGCCUGACGACGCAACGCCGCGUGGAGGAUGAAGGUCUUCGGAUGUAAACUCCUGUUGCUCGGGACGAAUGGCUCCGGCCUAAUACGUCGGAGUGUGACGGGUACCGGGUGA